UUCAACAUCUACUUAAUGCAUACCUGAUGUUGAACUAACCAGUACAAGUCCUCACAGUCAUCGUAGAAGUAAUGUUAGAUUAACAUGAAAGAAAUGCAGAAGGCUUUGCAAUUGUCUCCGCUGAGAAGUUUCCAUAAUGAUUUGCCAUAAUGAUAAUUUACAUUCUUGAAAGGAUUUGAUGGGACCAAUCGGCCAAGUUGGUAAAGUCUUGUAAUGGUACGAGAGACUUGGGUUUGGUUCUAUCCUUGCUCUGAUAAUUUGCUGGACCUUUAGUGAUCCUAGCUCUUAAAAGAAGAUAUCUUGAAUUGUUUCUGAAAAAUUUCAAAAAAAUAUGCAAGAAAGUUAUCACAUAUUCUUGAUGAUCUAUUAGCAUCCUAAAUACCAUUAAAAAAAACAACUGGUAAUUUUGAAGGCCCCCGAUCAACCACCAAAAACAAUAUAAAUUUCUCAUCAAUUUAAAAUCCAGUACGGGCAACCCAGGAGUAGAAAGUAAGGAAAUCCAUCGAAUAUGCAGAAAGUUCAAGGAAUUCCCGUCGUUCG
rnacentral:lncRNA from 1 species